GACUUUUGCAAUGAUGGAUUCCGUUGCAACACCGGAGAAUGCCUUCCGUUCUACUCGACGUGCGACGUGGAUAAAGACUGUCCCGGGGGAGAGGACGAGCUGGGAUGCGAGGGCUGCCUCAACGGCUUCCUGUGCAACACGGGGGAGUGUCUGCCUUCUGCCACUCGUUGCGACGAGACUCAACAGUGUCCAGGCGGAGAGGAUGAAGAAGGAUGUGAUUGCAAGGACGGCUUCCUAUGCAACACGGGAAAGUGUCUUCCGGUCUCUUCCUUUUGCAAUGGAGAGUCGGACUGCGCAGGAGGAGAGGACGAGGAGGGUUGUGGUCUGUAGUCUGACUUUGCUUUCAAAUGACCUGUUUAUUCAUUCCUUUUUAAUCAUUUUAUUUCCCUUUUUUUUCUAGAUUCUAGUUUUACUUGUUAAUUCCUUUUAGAUGCUAGUGUGUUAUUUGUUCUUAACAUUUUGCUCAUAAACUUACCAUUUCUAUUAUUAUUAUCAUUAUUGUUAUAAUUAUUAUUAGUAUUAUUACAAUUAUUAUUAUCAUUGUUGCAAUUAUUACUAAUUUUCCUAAUUAUCAGUAA
rnacentral:lncRNA from 1 species